AAUGUACGGAGGCCACCAGGCUUGGCCAUCCUCCAUCCAGUUACUAGCAAUGGGAGCCGUCUCCAAAUGCUCCUCAAACUCGACAAUCAGGCCAUCUAACAAGUGGAUGCCAUAUGUGGUGGAGGACAACGGGUACUCAAAGAAAGAAUCCUGAUGCAUAAAGCUCCCUGUACUGUGUGGCACUGGGAAACAAUGGCAUAAGGGGACCUGCAGUGUGUGGCUUUCUGAGCUCAAAGAUUUCCUUAGGUGAACAGGAUUUCUGCCCCUCAGAAAGUCUCUUCACGAUUUGAGCUAAUGGACAUGUGGGCUUUCUAACGAGCUUUUUGAGCUUGUACAAUGCAUUUUCAUACCUGAAAGCACUAAAUCUGUCCAGAACACCAUGGUUUCUGACAUCCUGUGCCAGAUGCACAAGAUUGGGAACAUUGUAGGAAAGAUACUUGGCACCAUACAGCUCUCCAAAGUGCUUGACAAAGAGAGUAAGUAUGUCAUUUGCAUAGUCCAAGUAGUCAUCAACCAGGGCUUUGCAGGACAAAAUGUGGAUACCAAUGAAAAGUAACAGAAAGUUGUGGUAUACAGCAGAGCUUACGAUGUCUUUCAGAAUCACUGGACCAGUAUACAGUAAAAACUGUCUAAACUCUGUUGCCUUCCACCGAUCAAUCUCUGCCACUGUCCUAGGUCUGCGGGCAAACUCAAUGGGAACCAUAUGACGAGCUUCCACAAGCCUCUGUGAGAGUUUGUUUACUAGAAAUGUAGGCAGCCUACACGUAAGGGGACCCUUGAUCCACAGGAGAAGUAGGCGGCGCAUGACACCCAGGCAGACAAGAUGCAUGUAGUCAAGGGGAAAUCCGGAAACCAUCCCAAGUGAUGUGUUUUCAAGAGGGGAAGUCCCUAGG